CUUCACAGCCUGAGUGAGAAAAGGUCUGAGGCAGCCCAGUCUCACUGUGGGGCUCCUAGUCCUAUGUGCACGAUGGGUUGGACUCCUCUUCUCCUCCUGUUCCUCUGUUACUGCACAGGUUCCUUCUCCCAGCCGGUGCUCACUCAACCACCCUUCCUGUCCGCGUCUUCUGGAGCAAGUGCCGUACUUACCUGCACCCUGAGCAGCGGCUUUGUAGUUUCUGGUUACCACAUUUCCUGGUACCAGCAAAAGUCAGGGAACCAUCCUCGAUAUCUACUGAGAUAUUACUCAGACUCAAAUCAGCACCAGGGCUCUGGGGUUCCUAGCCGCUUCACUGGAUCCAAAAACCCCUCAGCUAACGCAGGAAUUUUGCUCAUCUCUGAACUUCAGUAUGAGGAUGAGGCUGACUACUACUGUUUAACACAUCACAGCAACAGUGGUACUUACACAGUGCUAGAGAUGAAGGGGAAGUGAGACUAAAAUGUCUGC